rnacentral:rRNA from 1 species
CCUACGGGUGGCAGCAGUGAGGAAUAUUGGUCAAUGGCCGGAAGGCUGAACCAGCCAUGCCGCGUGAAGGUCAGUGCCCUAUGGGCGUUAAACUUCUUUUGUGCGGGAGCAAUAAUGGUCACGUGUGGCCAGACGAGAGUACCGUACGAAUAAGCAUCGGCUAACUCCGUGCCAGCAGCCGCGGUAAUACGGGGGAUGCAAGCGUUAUCCGGAUUUAUUGGGUUUAAAGGGUGCGUAGGCUGUGAGGUAAGUCAGCGGUGAAAUGCCCCCGCUCAACGGGGUGAAGUGCCAUUGAUACUGCCUGGCUGGAAUGCGGAUGCCGUGGGAGGAAUGUGUGGUGUAGCGGUGAAAUGCAUAGAUAUCACACAGAACACCGAUUGCGAAGGCAUCUCACGAAUCCGCGAUUGACGCUGAUGCACGAAAGCGUGGGUAUCAAACAGGAUUAGAUACUCUAGUAGUC